GAUGAACGCUGGCGGCGUGCCUAAUACAUGCAAGUCGAGCGAGAAGCUUGGAAAUGACGCUUCGGUUGAUUUUCCAAGCGGACAGCGGCGGACGGGUGAGUAACGCGUAGGCAACCUGCCCCUGACAGAGGGAUAGCCAUUGGAAACGAUGAUUAAAACCUCAUGACACCGUAGUAGCACAUGCUACAUCGGUCAAAGAUUUAUCGGUCAGGGAUGGGCCUGCGUCUGAUUAACUGGUUGGUGAGGUAACGGCUCACCAAGGUGACGAUCAGUAGCCGACCUGAGAGGGUGAUCGGCCACAUUGGAACUGAGACACGGUCCAAACUUCUACGGAAGGCAGCAGUAGGGAAUCUUGCACAAUGGGCGAAAGCCUGAUGCAGCAACGCCGCGUGAAGGAUGAAGGCCUUCGGGUUGUAAACUUCUGUUCUAAGGGAAGAAAGAAAUGACGUACCUAGGAGCAGCCCC
rnacentral:rRNA from 1 species